rnacentral:rRNA from 1 species
UACAGAGGUGGCAAGCGUUGUUCGGAUUUACUGGGCGUAAAGGGUGCGUAGGCGGUCCUGUGUGUCGGAUGUGAAAGCCCACGGAUCAUCCGUGGAAUGGCAUUCGAAACUGCGGGGCUAGAGUGUCGGAGAGGAUGGCGGAAUUCUCGGUGUAGCGGUGAAAUGCGUUGAGAUCGAGAGGAACGCCGGUGGCGAAGGCGGCCAUCUGGACGACAACUGACGCUGAGGCACGAAAGCUAGGGGAGCAAACAGG